rnacentral:lncRNA from 1 species
AAAAAAAAAAAACAAAAAAAAAAAGAAAAGAAAACAAGAGAAUGUGGCCUAAUAUGAAGAGGAGUAAAGUGUUGUUCUACUUAAACAUGGUCACAAGUUAUUUCUAUCACACAUUCAUAUUUUUGACUAUAUUUGAUGGAACAAUAUCUUUCUAGUCGUUCUCAAUUUAUCCAACUCUCUGCUCAGUUGUUAAAGAGGUGAAGUAUAGAUUUAGUGCUAUUCUUUUUAGUGAUUCUCAAUUUAUUCAACAAGCAUGCUUGUUAUAUUAAUGUUCCCCUCCUGAUCCUCUUUCGUCUUUUUUUUUUCUUUUCAAGAACAGGGUGGUGGUAUUAUCAGAAGGCCAUCCUCCAGAUUUGCUGACUGAGAUGAAUUCUGUCAUCAGACGAAUUGAUUUAACCUGCAAGCUAGUUGCACCAGUUAUAACUGGCUUCAUUAUCAGCUUUGUAUCACUAAAAGCAUCUGCUAUGACCUUAGCACUGUGGACGACUAUAACUGUUUGGGUGGAAUAUUGGCUUUUUAUGUCUGUGUAUAGCGGGAUCCCAGCUUUAGGUGAAAGCAGCCUAAGGAGGAUUUCAGAAGUUUCACCAAGUGAUGUUGCGGAAGAAAGCACAUCGGCUUCUCAGGAAAUACCUGAUUCACUUUCCAAUGAUGGAGAGAAUUCAGCAGCCGCAGGAAAGAACUCUGGGAGUAAAUUUAUCGAGUGUGUCGCUAAGGUUCCUUACAUUGAUGCAUGGAGAGUAUAUCUGCAGCAAGAUGUUGUUCUACCUGGAGUUGCUUUAGCUUUGUUGUAUUUCACUGUCCUAAGGUGAGUAUCGAGGAAUUCUAUUUGUUUUACUUCUGAAGUAAAUGGAAGUAAUUAUUUCAUUGGGAAUCUUUCUCUGUGGCAAUUCAUCUUUUACUGAUUAAUGUUUUUCCAGCUUUGGGACUUUGAUGACGGCUGCCUUUGAAUGGGAAGGCAUACCUGCAUUUGUAAUUGGAAUAGCACGUGGCAUUAGUGCUUCAAUUGGAAUAGCUGCAACAGUUGUGUAUCCCAUGCUACAAUCUCGUAUUUUAACACUCAGAACAGGACUCUGGUCUGUCUGGUCUCAGGUAUAACCCUUCUACAGACCAAUUAAGGAGUUACUUGGCCAUUGUAGAAUUACCUUUCCUUGAUGCUGUUCACCUUCAAUUCCAUUUUGGCAUGCACCUUUGAAUGCAGCGGAAUUGCCUGCUGCUAUGUGUGGCUUCAAUCUGGGUCAAAAACAGCCAUUUAUCAGCAUACAUGCUGAUGGGUGGAGUUGCAACAUCUCGUCUUGGUUUGUGGAUGUUCGACUUGUGCGUCAUCCAACAAAUGCAGGUAGAAGAACACAACUAACCAUGAACCGGUGCUGUUAAAUGUUGUCAAUCUCUGCAUUUGCUGAUGCAUUAGACAGCUUCGUUUGGAAAAAUUUGUCUCACUGCAUUUUCUAUUUCUCUUUUGCCAUUGUCUCCUGGACAGGAUCUUGUUCCCGAAUCUGAUCGUUGCAUUGUGGGAGGUGUUCAGAACUCGCUUCAGUCUACCUUGGAUUUGAUGGCUUAUGUCAUGGGAAUACUAAUCUCAAAUCCACAGGUAAUCAUCCUUAGAAUUUAGCUUGUGUUAAGUAACUCCAAUUACGUGUUUUAAGUAAAAAGUAGAGACAAUUUUUAAUAACUAUUGAAUACUAAGAUUGGACAUCUUUAACUAAACUCAACGGUAUUUCGUAGAGUUGAAAGCAUCUAUUAUGGAAUUAAUGUUAAAAUUUAGAAUGAUUUUAUUUUUAAUGAAAAUGAUAAAUGAUUCUUAAAAAAAUCAUUUUAUAAUUUUAUUACGGGUCUUGUUUUUGUUUUUGAUAAUUCAAUUUCUUUUUAAUUUUUUUCUUUUCCCUCCUUUCUCUUUGACCAGAUACAUAUGAGAUCUAUGUAUUACCAUAAGAUUAUUUGUUAAUGUGAUCUUUCAAAGCAGGAAUAUUUUGGAUUGAGUUUCCAUGAAAUGAUGAAUUUUGGCAAAAUCCUUUUGAGCCAAUUGAUUAUCUUAGAUUGCCAUGAAGAUUUAAUUGUUCAAAUACUCAUAUUAAUGGAUGAGGUGUUAUUCUGCAUGUGUACUCGCAAGAUUAUUUCUUAUCUUAUGCUUUUACGAUCAUUUAGAAUUAAUUCAGCUUGUGAAAAUAAUUUUAGGAUUCCUCAAUAAUUUUGAUAAGUCAUUAUUAACAUUAUUCAAUUAAUUAUUAUUAUUUAUUAUUUAUCAAAAAAAAAUGUUUCACUUUUUAUUCUUAUCUUAUAUCUAUAAAUUUAAUUCAUAUAUAAAAUAAAUUAAUUAACUAAAGCUGAAGUGGAUUGUACGUGGAUGAAUCCAAUCCACUUCUUUCUUUUUUAUCCUUCAUAAAGCCACUUUGUUUUAAUUUUAAAUCUACCACUGGUUGCCAACCGUUUCUCAUUCCUUCAUUUUUGCUCACUUCGUCAUCUUCCACUGGCAGCAGACAACCCCUUUCUCUAAACCCUCUCUCCAUUGCUCAGUCCCUGGCGCCGUCGCCUUGUUGGCCUAAGCAUUUCCUGCAGCGGCUCCGUCUUUCUUUCCCUUUUCUAGUUUCUUCUCUUCCCCUUCCUUCUGCCGCCAGUUUCCUCUCUAUCUAAAAAAGCCGAGCCACCGUUCUCCUCCUCCAAUUUGAGUUUUCUUUUAGAAGUCCUGUCACAAAUUUAAAACCCCAUUUAAAACCUCUUUCUUGAAAGCUGGGCGUGGGCACCCUUCAAGAGCACUCUUCAUUACCUCUAUGGGGUAUCUAUGUGUAGGAUAGUUUCCGUAACUACUCGUCAACCCGAAUACCUGAAAGCUCAGGAAAGAUUGGGUAAGCAGCUGAAAUGAGUCAACCACUCCCUGCACAGGAACAGAGACCUCCAUCAUCUCUUCUCAAGUAUCUUUAUGCCGCUCACUUUCUUGCGAGAUGGGGUGCCAGGUAUUUUUUUUGUUCUACUCCUAGCAUGGUUUCAACCAGGCUGAUUGAUUGAUUACAUGAUACAUAUAACAUGUUAUAUAAGGGAUUGCUUGGGAUAUUUUCAUGUAAGUUUUCUAGUAUUUAUAUUGAACACAUCUAUUACACAGCAAUUAUCAUCUCUUGACUACUUCGAUUUUGCCAGGCAUAUAUCCUUUGUGCAACAAGAAUGAUCUGAAUUGCCUGUCUCUACCAUGUGUGCUUCCCUUGGAAUUUAUGUUUAAUGCUUUACUUCAUUGCAGGAUGUGGGAAUUCUCUGUCGGUUUAUACAUGAUCAGUGUUUGGCCAGACUCUUUACUCCUUGCUGCUAUUUACGGUGCUGUGGAAUCUGCUUCUACAGCAUUAUUUGGUCCCAUCAUUGGACGAUGGGUGGAUAGGCUCACAUAUGUAAAGGUUUGCUUCAGAUCUUCGUUUUCUUUAGUUGAAAUUUAAGGCUUCGAAGUUCAGUUUCCAUGUGAACCCAGUUUUGUAAAUGUAGCCAUGUGAUUUACGGAAGUUUAUUAAAAGUUUUAGAGUUAUAACUGAAUCUCACUGCAACAUGAGCAAUACUAUUUCACGUUAUUAAGAAAACUGAUGGUGGAACCACCUGCUGAUCAAUAAAUCUAAAUAACUGAUAAAGAGAGUGACUAUAUAUGUAUUAUGUGAUUUCUGUUGGCAGGUUCUUAAACUUUGGUUAGUAACCCAGAAUCUGUCCUUCAUAAUUGCUGGAUGUGCAGUAAUGGCCUUACUGGUAUUUUCAAGCCUGAAGGUCACAAAUCUUGUAGCAUUCAUCUCCCUGGUGAUAUUGACCAACAUCUCUGGAGCUGUUGGUGUGCUUUCAACUCUAGCCGGUACCAUCCUGAUCGAAAGAGAAUGGUAAUUUCAUAUAAUACUCUGAGAGAGAGCAAAAAAAAAAAAAAAGAAAGGAAAAGAAAACAAGAGAAUAUGGCCUAAUAUGAAGAGGAGUAAAGUGUUGUUCUACUUAAACAUGGUCACAAGUUAUUUCUAUCAUACAUUCAUAUUUUUUAUUAUAUUUGAUGGAAUAAUAUCUUUCUAGUCAUUCUCAAUUUAUCCAACUCUCUGCUCAGUUGUUAAAGAGUUGAAGUAUAGAUUUAGUGUUAUUCUUUUUAGUGAUUCUCAAUUUAUUCAACAAGCAUGCUUGUUAUAUUAAUGUUACCCUCCUGAUGCUCUUCCCUUUUUUUUUUUCUUUUCAAGAACAGGGUGGUGGUAAUAUCAGAAGGCCAUCCUCCAGCUUUACUGACUGAGAUGAAUUCUGUUAUCAGACGAAUUGAUUUAACCUGCAAGCUAGUUGCACCAGUUAUAACUGGCUUCAUUAUCAGCUUUGUAUCACUAAAAGCAUCUGCUAUGACCUUAGCACUGUGGACGACUAUAACUGUUUGGGUGGAAUAUUGGCUUUUUAUGUCUGUGUAUAGCGGGAUCCCAGCUUUAGGUGAAAGCAGCCUAAGGAGGAUUUCAGAAGUUUCACCAAGUGAUGUUGUGGAAGAAAGCACUUCGGCUUCUCAGGAUGUUGUGGAAGAAAGCACAUCGGCUUCUCGGGAAAUACCUGAUUCACUUUCCAAUGACGGAGAGAAUUCAGCAGCCGCAAGAAAGAACUCUUGGAGUAAAUUUAUCGAGUGGGUCUCUAAGGUUCCUUACAUUGAUGCAUGGAGAGUAUAUCUGCAGCAAGAUGUUGUUCUACCUGGAGUUGCUUUAGCUUUGUUGUAUUUCACUGUCCU